rnacentral:rRNA from 1 species
UACGUAGGUGGCAAGCGUUGUCCGGAUUUAUUGGGUUUAAAGGGUGCGUAGGCGGCUUUGUAAGUCAGUGGUGAAAUAUGGCAGCUCAACUGUCAGGGUGCCAUUGAUACUGCGGAGCUUGAGUACAGAUGAGGUAGGCGGAAUUGACGGUGUAGCGGUGAAAUGCUUAGAUAUCGUCAAGAACACCGAUAGCGAAGGCAGCUUACUGGGCUGUAACUGACGCUGAGGAGCGAAAGCUAGGGGAGCAAACGGG